rnacentral:rRNA from 1 species
CAGUCGAGCGAAGCACUUAAGUUUGAUUCUUCGGAUGAAGACUUUUGUGACUGAGCGGCGGACGGGUGAGUAACGCGUGGGUAACCUGCCUCAUACAGGGGGAUAACAGUUAGAAAUGACUGCUAAUACCGCAUAAGACCACGGUACCGCAUGGUACAGUGGUAAAAACUCCGGUGGUAUGAGAUGGACCCGCGUCUGAUUAGGUAGUUGGUGGGGUAACGGCCUACCAAGCCGACGAUCAGUAGCCGACCUGAGAGGGUGACCGGCCACAUUGGGACUGAGACACGGCCCAGACUCCUACGGGAGGCAGCAGUGGGGAAUAUUGCACAAUGGAGGAAACUCUGAUGCAGCGACGCCGCGUGAAGGAUGAAGUAUUUCGGUAUGUAAACUUCUAUCAGCAGGGAAGAAAAUGACGGUACCUGACUAAGAAGCCCCGGCUAACUACGUGCCAGCAGCCGCGGUAAUACGUAGGGGGCAAGCGUUAUCCGGAUUUACUGGGUGUAAAGGGAGCGUAGACGGCACGGCAAGCCAGAUGUGAAAGCCCGGGGCUCAGCCCCGGGACUGCAUUUGGAACUGUUGAGCUAGAGUGUCGGAGAGGCAAGUGGAAUUCCUAGUGUAGCGGUGAAAUGCGUAGAUAUUAGGAGGAACACCAGUGGCGAAGGCGGCUUGCUGGACGAUGACUGACGUUGAGGCUCGAAAGCGUGNGGAGCAAACAGGANUAGAUACCCUGGUAGUCCACGCCGU